rnacentral:rRNA from 1 species
GACGAACGCUGGCGGCGCGCUUAACACAUGCAAGUCGAACGGAAAGGCCUGCUUUCCCUUGUGGAUUGCGGGUACUCGAGUGGCGAACGGGUGAGUAACACGUGAGUGAUCUGCCCCCAACUUGGGUAUAAGCCUGGGAAACUGGGUCUAAUUCCCGAUAGGACUGCAGGGUGGUGCCUGUGGUGGAAAACGAUUUUCUAGUGGUUGGGGAUGAGCUCGCGGCCUAUCAGCUUGCUGGUGGGGUAAUGGCCUACCAAGGCGGCGACGGGUAGCCGGCCUGAGAGGGUGGACGGCCACAUUGGGACUGGGAUACGGCUCAGACGCCUACGGGAGGCAGGAGUGGGGAAUAUUGCACAAUGGGCGGAAGCCUGAUGCAGCGACGCCGCGUGGGGGAUGACCGCCUUCGGGUUGUAAACUCCUUUCGACCGCGAGGAAGCCACCUGGUUGGAAGGGUGGUGACGUUAGUGGUAGAAGAAGCACCGGCUAACUACGUG